UUAAGUUAGAAAGGGCGCACGGUGGAUGCCUUGACACUAGGAGUCGAUGAAGGACGGGACUAACGCCGAUAUGCUUCGGGGAGCUGUAAGUAAGCUUUGAUCCGAAGAUUUCCGAAUGGGGAAACCCACCAUACGUAAUGGUAUGGUAUCCUUAUCUGAAUACAUAGGGUAAGGAAGACAGACCCAGGGAACUGAAACAUCUAAGUACCUGGAGGAAGAGAAAGCAAAUGCGAUUUCCUGAGUAGCGGCGAGCGAAACGGAACAUAGCCCAAACCAAGAGGCUUGCCUCUUGGGGUUGUAGGACAUUCUAUACGGAGUUACAAAGGAACGAGGUAGACGAAGCGACCUGGAAAGGUCCGUCGUAGAGGGUAACAACCCCGUAGUCGAAACUUCGUUCUCUCUUGAAUGUAUCCUGAGUACGGCGGAACACGUGAAAUUCCGUCGGAAUCUGGGAGGACCAUCUCCCAAGGCUAAAUACUCCCUAGUGAUCGAUAGUGAACCAGUACCGUGAGGGAAAGGUGAAAAGCACCCCGGAAGGGGAGUGAAAGAGAUCCUGAAACCGUGUGCCUACAAAUAGUCAGAGCCCGUUAACGGGUGAUGGCGUGCCUUUUGUAGAAUGAACCGGCGAGUUACGAUCCCGUGCGAGGUUAAGCUGAAGAGGCGGAGCCGCAGCGAAAGCGAGUCUGAAUAGGGCGUUUAGUACGUGGUCGUAGACCCGAAACCAGGUGAUCUACCCAUGUCCAGGGUGAAGUUCAGGUAACACUGAAUGGAGGCCCGAACCCACGCACGUUGAAAAGUGCGGGGAUGAGGUGUGGGUAGCGGAGAAAUUCCAAUCGAACCUGGAGAUAGCUGGUUCUCCCCGAAAUAGCUUUAGGGCUAGCCUUAAGUGUAAGAGUCUUGGAGGUAGAGCACUGAUUGGACUAGGGGUCCUCAUCGGAUUACCGAAUUCAGUCAAACUCCGAAUGCCAAUGACUUAUCCUUAGGAGUCAGACUGCGAGUGAUAAGAUCCGUAGUCAAAAGGGAAACAGCCCAGACCGCCAGCUAAGGUCCCAAAGUGUGUAUUAAGUGGAAAAGGAUGUGGAGUUGCUUAGACAACUAGGAUGUUGGCUUAGAAGCAGCCACCAUUUAAAGAGUGCGUAAUAGCUCACUAGUCGAGUGACUCUGCGCCGAAAAUGUACCGGGGCUAAAUACACCACCGAAGCUGCGGAUUGAUACCAAUGGUAUCAGUGGUAGGGGAGCGUUCUAAGGACAGUGAAGUCAGACCGGAAGGACUGGUGGAGUGCUUAGAAGUGAGAAUGCCGGUAUGAGUAGCGAAAGACGGGUGAGAAUCCCGUCCACCGAAUGCCUAAGGUUUCCUGAGGAAGGCUCGUCCGCUCAGGGUUAGUCAGGACCUAAGCCGAGGCCGACAGGCGUAGGCGAUGGACAACAGGUUGAUAUUCCUGUACCACCUCUUUAUCGUUUGAGCAAUGGAGGGACGCAGAAGGAUAGAAGAAGCGUGCGAUUGGUUGUGCACGUCCAAGCAGUUAGGCUGAUAAGUAGGCAAAUCCGCUUAUCGUGAAGGCUGAGCUGUGAUGGGGAAGCUCCUUAUGGAGCGAAGUCUUUGAUUCCCCGCUGCCAAGAAAAGCUUCUAGCGAGAUAAAAGGUGCCUGUACCGCAAACCGACACAGGUAGGCGAGGAGAGAAUCCUAAGGUGUGCGAGAGAACUCUGGUUAAGGAACUCGGCAAAAUGACCCCGUAACUUCGGGAGAAGGGGUGCUUUCUUAACGGAAAGCCGCAGUGAAUAGGCCCAAGCGACUGUUUAGCAAAAACACAGCUCUCUGCGAAGCCGUAAGGCGAAGUAUAGGGGGUGACACCUGCCCGGUGCUGGAAGGUUAAGGAGAGGGGUUAGCGUAAGCGAAGCUCUGAACUGAAGCCCCAGUAGACGGCGGCCGUAACUAUAACGGUCCUAAGGUAGCGAAAUUCCUUGUCGGGUAAGUUCCGACCCGCACGAAAGGUGUAACGAUUUGGGCACUGUCUCAACCAGAGACUCGGUGAAAUUAUAGUACCUGUGAAGAUGCAGGUUACCCGCGACAGGACGGAAAGACCCCGUGGAGCUUUACUGUAGCCUGAUAUUGAAUUUUGGUACAGUUUGUACAGGAUAGGCGGGAGCCUUUGAAACCGGAGCGCUAGCUUCGGUGGAGGCGCUGGUGGGAUACCGCCCUGACUGUAUUGAAAUUCUAACCUACGGGUCUUAUCGACCCGGGAGACAGUGUCAGGUGGGCAGUUUGACUGGGGCGGUCGCCUCCUAAAGUGUAACGGAGGCGCCCAAAGGUUCCCUCAGAAUGGUUGGAAAUCAUUCGUAGAGUGCAAAGGCAUAAGGGAGCUUGACUGCGAGACCUACAAGUCGAGCAGGGACGAAAGUCGGGCUUAGUGAUCCGGUGGUUCCGCAUGGAAGGGCCAUCGCUCAACGGAUAAAAGCUACCCCGGGGAUAACAGGCUUAUCUCCCCCAAGAGUCCACAUCGACGGGGAGGUUUGGCACCUCGAUGUCGGCUCAUCGCAUCCUGGGGCUGUAGUCGGUCCCAAGGGUUGGGCUGUUCGCCCAUUAAAGCGGUACGCGAGCUGGGUUCAGAACGUCGUGAGACAGUUCGGUCCCUAUCCGUCGUGGGCGUAGGAAAUUUGAGAGGAGCUGUCCUUAGUACGAGAGGACCGGGAUGGACGCACCGCUGGUGUACCAGUUGUUCUGCCAAGGGCAUAGCUGGGUAGCUAUGUGCGGAAGGGAUAAGUGCUGAAAGCAUCUAAGCAUGAAGCCCCCCUCAAGAUGAGAUUUCCCAUAGCGUAAGCUAGUAAGAUCCCUGAAAGAUGAUCAGGUUGAUAGGUUCGAGGUGGAAGCAUGGUGACAUGUGGAGCUGACGAAUACUAAUAGAUCGAGGACUUAACCAU
rnacentral:rRNA from 1 species